GCCGGAGUGUCCGAGCGGGUUAUGGAGACGGUCUUGAAAACCGUUGGCGGCGAUGAGUCGUCCCUGAGUUCGAAUCUCAGCUCCGGUGCCA
rnacentral:tRNA from 1 species